rnacentral:misc_RNA from 1 species
GGAAGAAGCUGAUGUGAUGAUGGCUAUUCAGAAGUUGAAAUGCUGUUUCUGACUUCUGAUAACCCUUCCAUUUCCUCAUUCAGGAGACCCAUAGUGCUAUUCCGGCAAGUAAACCAACUCUUGAAAUGAUAAACUGAAUGUUGAGACUCAUCGGACAUUUAUUCUUGGCCUCCUAUGUCUUUCAUCGUCUAAGUAACUAUCUGAUUGAUCACCAUAAUUACUAUUUCUUCC